UACGUAGGGUGCGAGCGUUUGUCCGGAAUUAUUGGGCGUAAAGGGCUCGUAGGCGGUUUGUCGCGUCGGGAGUGAAAACACCGGGCUUAACUCGGUGCUUGCUUUCGAUACGGGCAGACUAGAGGCAUGCAGGGGAGAACGGAAUUCCUGGUGUAGCGGUGAAAUGCGCAGAUAUCAGGAGGAACACCGGUGGCGAAGGCGGUUCUCUGGGCAUGUCCUGACGCUGAGGAGCGAAAGUGUGGGGAGCGAACAGG
rnacentral:rRNA from 1 species